rnacentral:rRNA from 1 species
CAGCAGGGACGAAGCGAGAGUGACGGUACUUGCAGAAGGAGCACCCGCCCAACUACGUGCCAGCAGCCGCGGUAAGACGUAGGGUGCGAGCGUUGUCCGGAUUAUUGGGCGUAAAGAGCUCGUAGGCGGCUUGUCGCGUCGACCGUGAAAACUUGGGGCUCAACCCCAAGCCUGCGGUCGAUACGGGCAGGCUAGAGUUCGGUAGGGGAGACUGGAAUUCCUGGUGUAGCGGUGAAAUGCGCAGAUAUCAGGAGGAACACCGGUGGCGAAGGCGGGUCUCUGGGCCGAUACUGACGCUGAGGAGCGAAAGCGUGGGGAGCGAACAGGAUUAGAUACCCUGGUAGUCCACGCUGUAAACGUUGGGCGCUAGGUGUGGGGGGCCUCUCCGGUUCCCUGUGCCGCAGCUAACGCAUUAAGCGCCCCGCCUGGGGAGUACGGCCGCAAGGCUAAAACUCAAAGGAAUUGACGGGGGCCCGCACAAGCGGCGGAGCAUGCGGAUUAAUUCGAUGCAACGCGAAGAACCUUACCUGGGUUUGACAUGGCCGCAAAACCUCCAGAGAUGGGGGGUCCUUCGGGGGCGGUCACAGGUGGUGCAUGGCUGUCGUCAGCUCGUGUCGUGAGAUGUUGGGUUAAGUCCCGCAACGAGCGCAACCCUCGUUCGAUGUUGCCAGCGCGUUAUGGCGGGGACUCAUCGAAGACUGCCGGGGUCAACUCGGAGGAAGGUGGGGAUGACGUCAAGUCAUCAUGCCCCUUAUGUCCAGGGCUUCACGCAUGCUACAAUGGCCGGUACAAUGGGCUGCGAUACCGCGAGGUGGAGCGAAUCCCAAAAAGCCGGUCUCAGUUCGGAUCGGGGUCUGCAACUCGACCCCGUGAAGUCGGAGUCGCUAGUAAUCGCAGAUCAGCAACGCUGCGGUGAAUACGUUCCCGGGCCUUGUACACACCGCCCGUCACGUCACGAAAGUCGGCAACACCCGAAGCCGGUGGCCCAACCCUUGGGAGGGAGCCGUCGAAAGGGGGGGGGUCGGGA